AGUUUAGGGUGGUUAGAAUGUCUGCUUUACAUGCAGAAGGUCCUGGGUUCGCACCCCAG
rnacentral:tRNA from 1 species